rnacentral:rRNA from 1 species
UACGUAGGGGGCUAGCGUUGUCCGGAUUUAUUGGGCGUAAAGAGCGUGUAGGCGGCCAUGUAGGUCCGGUGUGAAAACUCGAGGCUUAACCUCGAGAUGUCAUCGGAAACCAUUUGGCUAGAGUCCGGAAGAGGAGAGUGGAAUUCCUGGUGUAGCGGUGAAAUGCGCAGAUAUCAGGAAGAACACCAAUGGCGAAAAGCAGCUCUCUGGGACGGUACUGACGCUGAGACGCGAAAGCGUGGGGAGCGAACAGG